AUUGAACGCUAGCGGGAUGCUUUACACAUGCAAGUCGAACGGAGUGGCGGACGGGUGAGUAAUAUAUCGGAACGUGCCCAGUAGCGGGGGAUAACUACUCGAAAGAGUGGCUAAUACCGCAUAAUAUUGUAGCGGCCUAUAUCGGAUUAGCUGGUUGGUGGGGUAAAGGCUCACAAAGGCAACGAUCCGUAGCUGGUUUGAGAGGACGACCAGACAAACUGGGACUGGGAAACGGCCCAGACUCCUACGGGAGGCAGCAGUGGGGAAUGUUGGACAAGGGGGGAAACCCUGAUCCAGCAAUCCCGCGUGUAUGAUGAAGGCCUUCGGGUUGUAAAGGACUUUUGGCAGAGAAGCGGUAUCUGCAGAAUAAGCACCGGCUAACUACGUGCCAGCUGCCGCGGUAAUAC
rnacentral:rRNA from 1 species